rnacentral:rRNA from 1 species
CCUACGGGGGGCAGCAGUGGGGAAUAUUGCGCAAUGGGCGAAAGCCUGACGCAGCGACGCCGCGUGAGGGAUGAAGGUCUUCGGAUCGUAAACCUCUGUCAGCAGGGAAGAACGGUCACUGUGCUAAUCAGCAGUGAAUUGACGGUACCUGAAGAAGAAGCCCCGGCUAACUACGUGCCAGCAGCCGCGGUAAUACGUAGGGGGCAAGCGUUAUCCGGAUUUACUGGGUGUAAAGGGGGCGCAGACGGCGAUGCAAGCCAGGAGUGAAAGCCCGGGGCCCAACCCCGGGACUGCUCUUGGAACUGCGUGGCUGGAGUGCAGGAGGGGCAGGCGGAAUUCCUGGGGUAGCGGUGAAAUGCGUAGAUAUCAGGAGGAACACCGGUGGCGAAGGCGGCCUGCUGGACUGCAACUGACGUUGAGGCCCGAAAGCGUGGGGAGCAAACAGGAUUAGAUACCCCAGUAGUC